UAAUACGGAGGGUGCAAGCGUUGUUCGGAAUUACUGGGCGUAAAGCGUGUCUAGGUGGAUUUGUAAGUCAGGUGUGAAAUCCCCCGGCUCAACCGGGGAGGGUCGCUUGAUACUGCAUUUCUUGAGUUUCGGAGAGGUGGGCAGAAUUCCCAGUGUAGAGGUGAAAUUCGUAGAGAUUGGGAGGAAUACCGGAGACGAAGGUGGCUCACUAGCCGAAUACUGACACUCAAGCACGAAAGCGUGGGUAGCAAACAGG
rnacentral:rRNA from 1 species